AUUGAACGCUGGCGGCAGGCCUAACACAUGCAAGUCGAACGAGUGGCGGACGGGUGAGUAAUGUCUGGGAAACUGCCCGAUGGAGGGGGAUAACUACUGGAAACGGUAGCUAAUACCGCAUACCAUCGGAUGUGCCCAGAUGGGAUUAGCUAGUAGGUGGGGUAACGGCUCACCUAGGCGACGAUCUCUAGCUGGUCUGAGAGGAUGACCAGCCACACUGGGACUGAGACACGGCCCAGACUCCUACGGGAGGCAGCAGUGGGGAAUAUUGCGCAAUGGGGGCAACCCUGACGCAGCCAUGCCGCGUGAAUGAAGAAGGCCUUCGGGUUGUAAAGUUCUUUCGGUAGCGAGGCGUUACUCGCAGAAGAAGCACCGGCUAACUCCGUGCCAGCAGCCGCGGUAAUAC
rnacentral:rRNA from 1 species